CGGAAUUUCGUUACCUGCAGUCGAGCGGGCGUGUACUUGCUACCUUACCUAUCGGCGGACGGGUGAGUAAUGCUUAGGAAUCUGCCUAUUAUUGGGGGACAACAUUCCGAAAGGAAUGCUAAUACCGCAUACGCCCUACGGGGGAAAGCAGGGGAUCUUCGGACCUUGCGCUAAUAGAUGAGCCUAAGUCAGAUUACCUAGUUGGUGGGGUAAAGGCCUACCAAGGGGACGAUCUGUAGCGGGUCUGAGAGGAUGAUCCGCCACACUGGGACUGACACACGGCCCAGACUCCUACGGGAGGCAGCAGUGGGGAAUAUUGGACAAUGGGCGAAAGCCUGAUCCAGCCAUGCCGCGUGUGUGAACAAGGCCUUUUGGUUGUAAAGCACUUUAAGCGAGGAGGAGGCUACUUGGAUUAAUACUCUAAAAUAGUGGACGUUACUCUCACAAUAACCACCGGCUAACUCUGUGCCAGCAACCGCGGUAAUACAGAGGGUGCGAGCGUUAAUCGGAUUUACUGGGCGUAAAGCGUGCGUAGGCGGCUUUUUAAGUCGGAUGUGAAAUCCCUGAGCUUAACUUAGGAAUUGCAUUCGAUACUGGGAAGCUAGAGUAUGGGAGAGGAUGGUAGAAUUCCAGGUGUAGCGGUGAAAUGCGUAGAGAUCUGGAGGAAUCACGAUGGAGAAGGCAGCCAUCUGGCGUAAUACUGACGCUGAGGUACGAAAGCAUGGGGAGCAAACAGGAUUAGAUACCGUGGUAGUCCAUGCCGUAAACGAUGUCUAAUAUCCGUUGGGGCCUUUGAGGCUUUAGUGGCGCAGUUAACGCGAUAAGUAGACCGCCUGGGGAGUACGGUCGCAAGACUAAAACUCAAAUGAAUUGACGGGGGCCCGCCCAAGCGGUGGAGCAUGUGGUUUAAUUCGAUGCAACGCGAAGACCCUUACCUGGUCUUGACAUAGUAAGAACUUUCCAGAGAUGGAUUGGUGCCUUCGGGAACUUACAUACAGGUGCUGCAUGGCUGUCGUCAGCUUGUGUCGUGAGAUGUUGGGUUAAGUCCCGCAACGAGCGCAACCCUUUUCUUUAUUUGCCAGCGGGUUAAGCCGGGAACUUUAAGGAUACUGCCAGUGACAAACUGGAGGAAGGCGGGGACGACGUCAAGUCAUCAUGGCCCUUACGCCCAGGGCUACACACGUGUUCCAAUGGUCGGUACAAAGGGUUGCUACCUAGCGAUAGGAUGGUAAUCUCAAAAAGCCGAUCGUAGUCCGGAUUGGAGUCUGCAACUCGACUCCAUGAAGUCGGAAUCGUUAGUAAUCGCGGAUCAGAAUGCCGCGGUGAAUACGUUCCCGGCCCUUGUCCCCCCCGCCCGUCCCACCAUGGGAAUUUGUUCCACCAGAAGUAGGUAGUGUAACCGCAAGGAGGCCGCUACCACGGUGUCCAGUGGG
rnacentral:rRNA from 1 species